GAGGGAAACCGAGUCUUAAUUGGGCGUUAAGUUGCAGGGUAUAGACCCGAAACCCGGUGAUCUAGCCAUGGGCAGGUUGAAGGUUGGGUAACACUAACUGGAGGACCGAACCGACUAAUGUUGAAAAAUUAGCGGAUGACCUGUGGCUGGGGGUGAAAGGCCAAUCAAACCGGGAGAUAGCUGGUUCUCCCCGAAAGCUAUUUAGGUAGCGCCUCGUGAAUUCAUCUCCGGGGGUAGAGCACUGUUUCGGCUAGGGGGCCAUCCCGGCUUACCAACCCGAUGCAAACUGCGAAUACCGGAGAAUGUUAUCACGGGAGACACACGGCGGGUGCUAACGUCCGUCGUGAAGAGGGAAACAACCCAGACCGCCAGCUAAGGUCCCAAAGUCAUGGUUAAGUGGGAAACGAUGUGGGAAGGCCCAGACAGCCAGGAUGUUGGCUUAGAAGCAGCCAUCAUUUAAAGAAAGCGUAAUAGCUCACUGGUCGAGUCGGCCUGCGCGGAAGAUGUAACGGGGCUAAACCAUGCACCGAAGCUGCGGCAGCGAACGUAUCACCCAAGACAACUUUACGGAGUUGACGAUUGACGGAGCGAAGCGACGUCAAAGCGUUCAUUAAAGUCGAGUUGGCUUAGGGAUACGUUCGUUGGGUAGGGGAGCGUUCUGUAAGCCUGUGAAGGUGUGUCGUGAGGCAUGCUGGAGGUAUCAGAAGUGCGAAUGCUGACAUAAGUAACGAUAAAGCGGGUGAAAAGCCCGCUCGCCGGAAGACCAAGGGUUCCUGUCCAACGUUAAUCGGGGCAGGGUGAGUCGACCCCUAAGGCGAGGCCGAAAGGCGUAGUCGAUGGGAAACGGGUUAAUAUUCCCGUACUUGGUGUUACUGCGAAGGGGGGACGGAGAAGGCUAUGUUGGCCGGGCGACGGUUGUCCCGGUUUAAGCGUGUAGGUGUGUGUUCCAGGUAAAUCCGGUUCACUUUAACACUGAGGCGUGACGACGAGGCACUACGGUGCUGAAGCAACAAAUGCCCUGCUUCCAGGAAAAGCCUCUAAGCAUCAGGUAACAUCAAAUCGUACCCCAAACCGACACAGGUGGUCAGGUAGAGAAUACCAAGGCGCUUGAGAGAACUCGGGUGAAGGAACUAGGCAAAAUGGUGCCGUAACUUCGGGAGAAGGCACGCUGACACGUAGGUGAAGUGAUUUACUCAUGGAGCUGAAGUCAGUCGAAGAUACCAGCUGGCUGCAACUGUUUAUUAAAAACACAGCACUGUGCAAACACGAAAGUGGACGUAUACGGUGUGACGCCUGCCCGGUGCCGGAAGGUUAAUUGAUGGGGUCAGCGCAAGCGAAGCUCCUGAUCGAAGCCCCGGUAAACGGCGGCCGUAACUAUAACGGUCCUAAGGUAGCGAAAUUCCUUGUCGGGUAAGUUCCGACCUGCACGAAUGGCGUAAUGAUGGCCAGGCUGUCUCCACCCGAGACUCAGUGAAAUUGAACUCGCUGUGAAGAUGCAGUGUACCCGCGGCAAGACGGAAAGACCCCGUGAACCUUUACUAUAGCUUGACACUGAACAUUGAGCCUUGAUGUGUAGGAUAGGUGGGAGGCUUUGAAGUGUGGACGCCAGUCUGCAUGGAGCCGACCUUGAAAUACCACCCUUUAAUGUUUGAUGUUCUAACGUGGACCCGUAAUCCGGGUUGCGGACAGUGUCUGGUGGGUAGUUUGACUGGGGCGGUCUCCUCCUAAAGAGUAACGGAGGAGCACGAAGGUUGGCUAAUCCUGGUCGGACAUCAGGAGGUUAGUGCAAUGGCAUAAGCCAGCUUGACUGCGAGCGUGACGGCGCGAGCAGGUGCGAAAGCAGGUCAUAGUGAUCCGGUGGUUCUGAAUGGAAGGGCCAUCGCUCAACGGAUAAAAGGUACUCCGGGGAUAACAGGCUGAUACCGCCCAAGAGUUCAUAUCGACGGCGGUGUUUGGCACCUCGAUGUCGGCUCAUCACAUCCUGGGGCUGAAGUAGGUCCCAAGGGUAUGGCUGUUCGCCAUUUAAAGUGGUACGCGAGCUGGGUUUAGAACGUCGUGAGACAGUUCGGUCCCUAUCUGCCGUGGGCGCUGGAGAACUGAGGGGGGCUGCUCCUAGUACGAGAGGACCGGAGUGGACGCAUCACUGGUGUUCGGGUUGUCAUGCCAAUGGCACUGCCCGGUAGCUAAAUGCGGAAGAGAUAAGUGCUGAAAGCAUCUAAGCACGAAACUUGCCCCGA
rnacentral:rRNA from 1 species